GGACUACUAGGGUUUCUAAUCCCGUUCGCUCCCCAUGCUGUCGUGUCUGAGCGUCAGUUGCGAGCCAGGGCGCCGCCUUCGCCUCUGGGGUUCCUCCGGAUCUCUACGCAUUUCACCACUACACCCGGAAUUCCACGCCCCUCUCUCGCACUCCAGAGUGCCAGUCUGGCAUAACCGCGCCCGGUUAAGCCGGGCGAUUUCAUACACCACUUGGCACCCCGCCUGCACACCCUUUACGCCCAGUAAAUCCGGAUAACGCUCGCCACCUACGUUUUACCGCGGCGGCUGGCAC
rnacentral:rRNA from 1 species